AUUGAACGCUGGCGGCAUGCCUAACACAUGCAAGUCGAACGGUAACAGGAAGAAGCUUGCUUCUUUGCUGACGAGUGGCGGACGGGUGAGUAAUGUCUGGGAAACUGCCUGAUGGAGGGGGACAACUACUGGAAACGGUAGCUAAUACCGCAUAACUUCGCAAGCCCAAAGAGGGGGACCUUCGGGCCUCUUGCCAUCGGAUGUGCCCAGAUGGGAUUAGCUAGUAGGUGGGGUAACGGCUCACCUAGGCGACGAUCCCUAGCUGGUCUGAGAGGAUGACCAGCCACACUGGAACUGAGACACGGUCCAGACUCCUACGGGAGGCAGCAGUGGGGAAUCUUGCACAAUGGGCGCAAGCCUGAUGCAGCCAUGCCGCGUGUAUGAAGAAGGCCUUCGGGUUGUAAAGUACUUUCAGCGGGGAGGAAGGGAGUAAAGUUAAUACCUUUGCUCAUUGACGUUACCCGCAGAAGAAGCACCGGCUAACUCCGUG
rnacentral:rRNA from 1 species